ACUUCUCUUCUUCACUCUUGUGCCUGUCUGUUAUUUUCCUCUCAUGCGCUUUCCUAAUCUCACCUCAACACCCUCCGUUACAGCCACCUUCGUUGCCUCCGUCACAGCCACCUUCUGAGUCUCCCUCACUGCCACCUUCGUUGCCUCCGUCACAGCCACCUUCUUUGCCUCCGGCGUCACAGUCAACUUCUGUUGCUUGUAAGUCAACACCAUACCCUAAGCUCUGCCGUACGAUCCUAUCCGCUGUGAAAUCCUCACCGUCCGAUCCCUACCGUUACGGCAAGUUCACGAUCAAGCAAUGCCUCA
rnacentral:lncRNA from 1 species